rnacentral:rRNA from 1 species
AUUGAACGCUGGCGGCAUGCCUUACACAUGCAAGUCGAACGGCAGCACGGGAGCAAUCCUGGUGGCGAGUGGCGAACGGGUGAGGAAUACAUCGGAACGUGCCCAGUCGUGGGGGAUAACUACUCGAAAGAGUAGCUAAUACCGCAUACGACCUGAGGGUGAAAGCGGGGGAUCGCAAGACCUCGCGCGAUGGGAGCGGCCGAUGUCAGAUUAGCUAGUUGGUGGGGUAAAGGCCUACCAAGGCUACGAUCUGUAGUUGGUCUGAGAGGACGACCAGCCACACUGGGACUGAGACACGGCCCAGACUCCUACGGGAGGCAGCAGUGGGGAAUUUUGGACAAUGGGCGCAAGCCUGAUCCAGCAAUGCCGCGUGCAGGAAGAAGGCCUUCGGGUUGUAAACUGCUUUUGUCAGGGAAGAAAUCCUCUGGGUUAAUACCUCGGGGGGAUGACGGUACCUGAAGAAUAAGCACCGGCUAACUACGUGCCAGCAGCCGCAGUAAAAC